CUAUCCAGCCACCUCUGAUCACUCCUCCCCCUCGUCGUCCCCGCAGACCAAAGAUUUUCGGCGACAUGAAUGAUCCCAAGUAUGAACAGAGGAAUGUCAUGAGCUGAGCUACUUCAGUGGAAAUGAAUUCUGGUGAUCAUGUAACUUCUGCAUCACAUACACGCUGCUGUCGUUAUGUUAAAGCAAAUGGCUCUGUUAGUGAACUGCUUAAAGUGGAGUUAACUGGUGUUCAUGCUCAAACGCUGUUGCUGUCAACAGUUACAUUAGUCACUGCUGCGCUUAUGCUGUCCACCAAAAGUCUUAUCAAAAUAAAACGAGUUUCAGAUUAAAGACAA